CCCUUAGAUGUUCUGGGCUGCACACGUGCUACACUGGCAGGUUCAGCGAGCUUCAUGCCCUGAUCUGAAAGGAAUGGGAAAUCUUUUCAAAACCUGCCGUGCUUGGGAUAGAUGUUUGCAAUUAUUCAUCUUCAACGAGGAUUGCCUUGUAAGCGCAUGUCAUCAGCGUGCAUUGAAUACGACCCUGUAUUCUGUACACACCGCCCGUCGCUCCUACCGAUUGAAGUUUUCGGUGAGUUGACAGGAGGAUUUUUUUGAAACUGGUUCGCCAGUGGAUUUUAGAUCCAAAUGCCAACGAAUCGAUGGCUUUAGAGGAAGGAGAAGUCGUAACA
rnacentral:rRNA from 1 species